AUGCUCUUCUACGACAAGAAAGAGAAUCUCUCCAAGUUAUGGGAUAUUCUAGCUGUGUACGCGUGGAUCGACAAAGAAGUCGGGUAUUGCCAAGCUCCUCCACCGCGUCAGCAGUCUACUCCAGCUCCUCCAAGUCAGCCACCGCCUCUGCAGACUCCUGCUCCUUCAAGUCCGCCAACGCGUGAGGCCACUCCUCCUCCUCCUCCAAGUCCAGCACCGUAUGAGCUCACUUCUCCUCCUCCAAGUCUGGCACCGCGUCAGCCCGGUCCUCCUCCUCCAAGUCAGGCACCGCGUAAGCCGUCUCCGCCGCCUAAGCAACAGCGGAACAGAGCCGACUAG
rnacentral:rRNA from 1 species